rnacentral:rRNA from 1 species
AUUACUGCUGGGGGUAGAGCACUGUUUCGGCUAGGGGGUCAUCCCGACUUACCAAACCGAUGCAAACUCCGAAUACCAGCAAGUACAGUGAGGGAGACAGACUGCGGGUGCUAACGUCCGUAGUCAAGAGGGAAACAACCCAGAUCGCCAGCUAAGGUCCCAAAGUAUUAUUAAGUGGGAAACGUUGUAGGAAGGCCCAAACAGCUAGGAGGUUGGCUUAGAAGCAGCCAUCCUUUAAAGAAAGCGUAACAGCUCACUAGUCGAGUCGGCCUGCGCGGAAGAUGUAACGGGGCUAAAUAAUACACCGAAGCUGCGAAUGAAUAUUUAUAUUCAUGGUAGGGGAGCGUUCUGUAUGCCACUGAAGGUGAAUCGAGAGGUUCAUUGGAGGUAUCAGAAGUGAGAAUGCUGACAUAAGUAACGAUAAGAGGGGUGAAAAACCUCUCCGCCGAAAGACCAAGGUUUCCUGUCCAACGUUAAUCGGGACAGGGUGAGUCGACCCCUAAGGCGAGGGCGAAAGCCGUAGUCGAUGGGAAAUAGGUUAAUAUUCCUAUACUUCUUGUUACUGCGAUGGAGUGACGGAGAAGGCUAGGCCAGCACAGCGACGGUAGUUCUGUGUUUAAGGUUGUAGGUUGGAGAUUUAGGUAAAUCCGGAUCUCUAAGACCGAGAACUGAUGACGAUUAUCUUUUCGGAGAUAAGAAGUGGUCGAUGCCAUGCUUCCAGGAAAAACUUCUAAGCUAUAGGUAGCAAGGAAUCGUACCGUAAACCGACACAGGUGGUCAGGUAGAGAAUACUAAGGCGCUUGAGAGAACUCUGGUGAAGGAACUAGGCAAAAUGGUACCGUAACUUCGGGAGAAGGUACGCCCUCAUUACGUGACGAGACUUGCUCUCCGAGCGGAAGAGGGUCGAAGAUACCAGGUGGCUGCGACUGUUUACUAAAAACAUAGCACUCUGCAAACACGAAAGUGGACGUAUAGGGUGUGACGCCUGCCCGGUGCCGGAAGGUUAAUUGAUCGGGUUAGCCCCUUGUGGGCGAAGCUCGUGAUCGAAGCCCCGGUGAACGGCGGCCGUAACUAUAACGGUCCUAAGGUAGCGAAAUUCCUUGUCGGGUAAGUUCCGACCUGCACGAAUGGCGUAACGAUGGCCACGCUGUCUCCACCAGAGACUCAGUGAAAUUGAAUUUGCGGUGAAGAUGCCGUAUACGCGCGGCUAGACGGAAAGACCCCGUGCACCUUUACUAUAGGUUCACACUGGACUUUGAGUUUAUUUGUGUAGGAUAGGUGGGAGACUUUGAAGCAGGAGCGCCAGCUCUUGUGGAGUCGUCCUUGAAAUACCACCCUAUUAAAUUUGGAGUUCUAACUUAGGCCCGUAAUCCGGGUCGAGGACAGUGUGUGCUGGGUAGUUUGACUGGGGCGGUCUCCUCCCAAAGAGUAACGGAGGAGUGCGAAGGUAACCUCAGCACGGUCGGACAUCGUGCAAUGAGUGCAAUGGCAUAAGGUUGCUUAACUGCGAGACUGACAAGUCGAGCAGAUACGAAAGUAGGUCAUAGUGAUCCGGUGGUUCUGAAUGGAAGGGCCAUCGCUCAACGGAUAAAAGGUACGCCGGGGAUAACAGGCUAAUACCCCCCAAGAGUUCACAUCGACGGGGGUGUUUGGCACCUCGAUGUCGGCUCAUCACAUCCUGGGGCUGAAGCAGGUCCCAAGGGUAUGGCUGUUCGCCAUUUAAAGUGGUACGCGAGCUGGGUUUAGAACGUCGUGAGACAGUUCGGUCCCUAUCUGCCGUGCGCGUUGGAAAAUUGAGAAGAGUUGCUCCUAGUACGAGAGGACCGGAGUGAACGAACCGCUGGUGUUCGGGUUGUCAUGCCAAUGGCAUUGCCCGGUAGCUAUGUUCGGAAAGGAUAACCGCUGAAAGCAUAUAAGCGGGAAGCCUCCUUCAAGACUAGUUUUCCCUGGACCUUCGGGUCCUUAGAGAGCCGUUCAAGACUAGGACGUUGAUAGGCAGGGUGUGUAAGUGCUGUAAGGCAUUGAGCUAACCUGUACUAAUUGCUCGAUCGGCUUGACCGU